GACGAACGCUGGCGGCGUGCCUAAUACAUGCAAGUCGAACGCAGUGGGGACGGGUGAGUAACACGUGGGUAACCUCCCAUCAGAGGGGAUAACCCUUGGAUACAGGUGCUAAACCGAUACUGAUGGAUGGACCCGCGGUGCAUUAGCGAGGUGGUGAGGUAACGGCUCACCAAGGCCACGAUGCAUCCCCUGCCUGAGAGGGUGAUCGGCCACACUGGGACUGAGACACGGCCCAGACUCCUACGGGAGGCAGCAGUAGGGAAUCUUCGGCAAUGGGCGAAAGUCUGACCGAGCAACGCCUCGUGUGUGAAGAAGGUUUUCGGGUCGUAAAGCUCUUUUGUUAGGGAAGCGGUAUCUAACCAGAAAGCCACGGCUAACUCCGUGCCAGCAGCCGCGGUAAUUC
rnacentral:rRNA from 1 species